rnacentral:lncRNA from 1 species
AGCCACGUGGCCUGGUUAUAUUCCUCCCUGAGCCUCUGUUUCCUCAUCUCUAUGGUAGGGAUAAAAGAACCAAAUUUAAAGUUGUGAACCUCAAAAACCACCUUGCUGGUCUAAGUCACUAUCAUCUCUUGUCUGUUAUUGCAAUAAUCUGCUAACAGUCCUCUCUGCUUCCUGCUUGCUCCACUGCCAUCUGUGGUCAACAUCAUAUCCAGAACAAUCCUGUUUAAAAAUGUAACUUGGAUGAUUCUUCCUUUUGCUUAAAACCUGAUCAUGCCUUUCAAUUUCUUACAGGACUCUCCAGAACUCUAAGAUGUCAGAACAAACUUUGGGACAUAGCUGGUCUUGUAGCAAAGGAUACAAAGAAUAGAUGAACUACACCUGGCUCUUCGAGUGUCUGAUAGAAGAAACACACCUUACCCACAGCCAUGUUACAUUGGCCAAAACAGGUCACGUGGCCACACUUGGGGCCAGUGAAGUAGAGAAGGAUAAUAUUUCUACAGAAAAGGGAUACCACAGGGAGGAGCAGCCAACAUUUUGAACAGAAAUAUAAUCUGCUAUAUAGGACAUUUCAUAAAGUAGGUCAAAUAUUUUUGGAAAAAAAAAAGAGGGGAGUCUAUGUAUGGUCAGUUAAGUUUAGGAACUCCUACAUAAUACCCAUCUCUAGAGCUAUGCAAUGUAAACCAGCACACCGAAGGCUCUCAGAAGUCCUGCAAUAGAAAAAUAAAAUCAAGAUUGUUUAA